CCCCCGGGGAUGGGUGACAGACACUGGGGAGGGGUGACAGACCCCAGGGGGAGGUGACAGACCCCCCUGGAGGGGUGACAGACCCCAGGGAGGGGUGACAGACCCCAGGGGGAGGUGACAGACCCCCAAGGAGGGGUGACAGACCCCGGGGGGGAGGUGACAGACCCCCCUGGAGGGGUGACAGACCCCAGGGAGGGGUGACAGACCCCAGGGGGAGGUGACAGACCCCCAAGGAGGGGUGACAGACCCCGGGGGGGGGUCCCAAGCCCACCCUCCGUCCACGAUCUCGUCCACGGCCAGGAACAGCCCCUCCAUGUUGUCCAGCAGCGCCCGGCGCUCCACGUUCUUCCUGAGGGGGGGGACACGGCUGGGACCCCCUUGGGGACACCCCCAGUGACACGGGGACACCCCAGGGACACCCCCAGGACAUGGGGACACCCCCAGGACACCCCCAGGACAUGGGGACACCCCACGGACACCCCAGGGACAUGGGGACACCCCAGGGACACCCCCAGGGACAC